AGACCUGAAAAAAAUAUAUGUUUAUACAUAUAGUGUUAGCAUCUGCAAUACAUAAAUACUAAACUACUUUAGUCAACCCUUACUAGUAUAUGAAGUUAAUGUAAUACAUAUUAGAGGAUAUAGAUAGCUGUUCCAAUAUGAAUUUUGUUCUUCUGAACCCUUUGCAGAAAAGAUGUCCUCAUAUGUUUAGAGAAGUCGAUCAUUCCUGUGUGCAUUGAUCUCUAAAUAUAUACAUUAUUCUUUACGUGAACAAAAAUAAAUAUAAAAUGAGUUAUACAUAUAAUAUAGACAAAUUAAGUGAGUCAAAUUAUGAUUCGUGUUGUGUGCAGAUGAAAAGUGUAUUUGUGCAUCCAGAGCUGUGGUUAGUAGCCACAAGAAUAAUUUAAAAAUUUUCAAACUAAAAGAAGAAAAGGCCUUAGAAGCAAUUACGCUUAAACCAGUGAGCUAGCAAACACAAAAUGUUAAUCUAGCAAAGAAGCCUCGACACUAUUAAAAGAUAUGCAUCUGCCGUCGGGACCUGUGAGAAUAGUGCCAUUGUUUAACAAAUUUGAAAAUACAGUUGCUCAAAAAAAGGGAACGCCGAAAAAAUUGUGACUGUUAUUUUGUGAAAAAGAAUUAAAGCGCUGAAUCGAAUAACGCUGAAAGAGGGCUGAAAAAUUAUCAACGGUCCAAAAAUGUCAGCUUUAAAUUUGAGCAAUAACACUUCACUUUACAAAAAUAUAUGGUGUUUAGAUAGUGGAGCGACGGCUCACAUAUGCAUGCGGCGGGAAUUAUUUGAUCGGUUCGAAAAAUAAAAUAAUAAAAUAAAUCUCGCUGGCAACAAAUAUGUUCAUGCAGAAGGUCGUGGAAACAUAAAA